rnacentral:lncRNA from 1 species
CGGGCUUUUGAGGUCUUCCAAGCUCGUUGGUCCAGUGUGUCUCACUCUUCUGCUGCCUACGGAUCAAUAUGUAGAACUCUCAGCUACCUCUCCAGCCCCGUGUCUCCCUGCACGCCACCAUGCUCCACACCAUGAUGAUAACGGACUGAACCUCUGAACUGUUACCCUGAUCAGACACCCCUUGGGAGAGGGGGUGAGGAGACGCAGCACCAGUGACUCAGGCACUGGGAGUCGAUUAGUGUGGCUCUUAGACCUCAUCAGAGAAGUCUGUCCAGUGGACAGCAGCUAAACAGAAACUUACAACUCACCAAACCGCAGACAACGAGACACUCAACUCUAACUGGAACACCUGUAUCACAUUCUUUCUCCCCAACUCGGGGAUCGUCACAGAAGAAAUGCACAUGUAAAGGUGGCAGAAAUGUUGUAAAAGUCAGAGGUUGUGCUGAACCGGCUCCCAGGAGGUGAGGACAGUGUCUACUGCUCUUGACAGGAUGGCCGCGGCUGGGGUUCCAGCAUGGGGGUGAGCACGUAUGAGCUCACCCUAAAGCAGGAGCUAUUGACAGUGUGCAGCUUGUGGGGGCCUUCAGCUGUCGGAGAAACUGCAAGUCCUGAAUGAAGCACACACCCCACACACGUACACACGUACACACAUGAACACACAUGCACAGGGACACAUGCAUGCAAAUAAACAC